rnacentral:misc_RNA from 1 species
GAUGAAGAACGCAGCGAAAUGCGAUAAGUAAUGUGAAUUGCAGAAUUCAGUGAAUCAUCGAAUCUUUGAACGCACAUUGCGCCCGCCAGUAUUCUGGCGGGCAUGCCUGUUCGAGCGUCAUUUCAACCAUCAAGCCCCCGGCUUGUGUUGGGGACCUGCGGCUGCCGCAGGCCCUGAAAAGCAGUGGCGGGCUCGCUGUCACACCGAGCGUAGUAGCAUACAUCUCGCUCUGGGCGUGCUGCGGGUUCCGGCCGUUAAACCACCUUCAUAACCCAAGGUUGACCUCGGAUCAGGUAGGAAGACCCGCUGAACUUAAGCAUGUCAAUAGCGGAGGA